AGCACAAAGCAAUGUUAAUUGCAUAACAGGGGGAGCAAGUCCAUGACUUUGGGGCUUAGCAGCAUAGCAGGUUUGCAGAUUCACAGAGCUAACCUGCUGGUAAGAAAGAAACAGGUGUCUUGACUACAAAGUCCAUCAUAACACUAGAAUUUAUGUGCCUGGAGGAGCAGGGAUUUUGUUUACACAGCAACCCCUAAAGACGAUGAGUAUUUGGAAGCUGCUAAGUGACUUCACCGGCAUUGAGACCGGAUAUCCUGUUUACUUUUAUCUCCCCUUAUUUCAAGUCCCUCAAACAUGGGGAUUUCUAAGUUCCCAGAGAAAUAAACUGACUGGCCCAUUCAGAGUUUGCUAUCAACCCAUGGUCCAACCGACUCCAACUCAACCAGGCAUUUGGAAUUACAGAGAUCACUGUACUCUCAAAAGGAUUAUGGGAGGAAACGUUUGAGGAGGACUACAUUAAAUAAACAGGUUUCUGUGAGGGGAUUUUCAUAUAACUGAAAGCCAAGAAGCCAAGGCCCAUGAUUGAUUAGGACUGCUGCCAUAUAUAAACUUGAAAAUUUGCUCCUGUGACAAGAUAAGCACAGACAAGAGACUCGAUCAAAGUCAGCAGCUGCCAGAUGUUAAGGCAUGCAUUUUGGUCACAAUUUUAAGGAUGCUAACUGGCUUUAGCACAAAGGAGGUUUCAUAUGUACUCCCAAGGCAGGUGACGCACCAUUGAUGGAAGAACAUGUAAGAAGAAUGGACAUGAGGCCAGAGUCCCUGCUGAGGAGGCAGGACACCAGGCAGAAAAUGAGACUCCUAUUCUGUUUUGUGGAAUAAAGGAUGCACAUUGAAAUUACCUGAAGUUUUAAAAGAUCCUGUGUUAUGGGCUGAAUUAUGCUCCUCAAAUGCAUAAGUUGAAGUUAUAUCCUCAAUAUCUCAAAUCCGAGUAUAUUUAGGAACAAAGUCUUAAAGGAGGUAAUUCAGUUAAAAUGAGGUCACUAGGAAGGGCUCUAAUCCAAUACAACUGCUGUGUUCAUAAGAAGAGGAAAUGUGAACACGCUAAUAGGGAAAAAUGAUGUGAAGACACAAGGAAAAGACAGCUGUCUACAAGCCAAGGAGAGAGGCCUCAGAGGGAACCAACCUUGCCAGCACCUUCAUCUUGGAUUUCUGGUCUCCAGAAAUGUGAGAAAAUAAAUGUUGCU